UGGGGAAUCUUGCACAAUGGGGGAAACCCUGAUGCAGCGACGCCGCGUGAGCGAUGAAGCCCUUCGGGGUGUAAAGCUCUUUCGGCGGGGACGAUGAUGACGGUACCCGCAGAAGCAGCUGCGGCUAACUACGUGCCAGCAGCCGCGGUAAUACGUAGGCAGCAAGCGUUGUUCGGAGUUACUGGGCGUAAAGGGUGUGUAGGCGGCCGUUUAAGUUUGGUGUGAAAUCUCCCGGCUCAACUGGGAGGGUGCGCCGAAUACUGAGGGGCUCGAGUGCGGGAGAGGAGAGUGGAAUUCCUGGUGUAGCGGUGAAAUGCGUAGAUAUCAGGAGGAACACCGGUGGUGUAAACGGCUCUCUGGACCGUGACUGACGCUGAGACACGAAAGCGUGGGGAGCAAACA
rnacentral:rRNA from 1 species